UGCGUAGGCGGUUCGGUUAGUCUGGUGUGAAAAUCCGUCGCUUAACGACGGAAACGCAUCGGAAACUGCCGAGCUCGAGGGUGGAAGAGGCAGGUGGAAUUCCCGGUGUAGCGGUGGAAUGCGUAGAGAUCGGGAAGAACACUCGUGGCGAAGGCGGCCUGCUGGUCCAUUUCUGACGCUGAGGCACGAAAGCCAGGGGAGCAAACGGGAUUAGAUACCCCGGUAGUCCUGGCCUUAAACGGUGAACACUGGGUGUCGGGGGUAUCGACCCCUCGGUGCCGCAGCUAACGCGUUAAGUGUUCCGCCUGGGGAGUACGGCCGCAAGGUUGAA
rnacentral:rRNA from 1 species